rnacentral:rRNA from 2 species
CGAGAAAACUUUGCAAUGUGCGAAAGCACGACAAGGUUAAUCCGAGUGGUUUCUGCUAAAGGAACCUUUUGCCAGUCCUAGAAACACUGGUGAAUAAGGGGUGGGCAAGUUCUGGUGUCAGCCGCCGCGGUAAAACCAGCACCUCAAGUGGUCAGGAUGAUUAUUGGGCCUAAAGCAUCCGUAGCCUGCUUUGUUAGUUUUCGGUUAAAUCUAUUCGCUCAACGAAUAGGCUGCCGGGAAUACUGCAAAGCUAGGGAGUGGGAGAGGUAGACGGUACUCGGUAGGAAGGGGUAAAAUCCUUUGAUCUAUUGAUGACCACCUGUGGCGAAGGCGGUCUACCAGAACACGUCCGACGGUGAGGGAUGAAAGCUGGGGGAGCAAACCGGAUUAGAUACCCGGGUAGUCCCAGCUGUAAACUAUGCAAACUCAGUGAUGCAUUGGCUUGAUGCCAAUGCAGUGCUGCAGGGAA